rnacentral:rRNA from 1 species
GACGAACGCUGGCGGCGUGCUUAACACAUGCAAGUCGAACGGUAAGGCCCUUCGGGGUACACGAGUGGCGAACGGGUGAGUAACACGUGAGUGACCUGCCCUUGACUCUGGGAUAACUGCGGGAAACUGUAGCUAAUACCGGAUACGACCCUCGGCGGCAUCGCCAGGGGGUGGAAAGAAUUUCGGUCAAGGAUGGACUCGCGGCCUAUCAGCUAGUUGGUGAGGUAACGGCUCACCAAGGCGACGACGGGUAGCCGGCCUGAGAGGGUGACCGGCCACACUGGGACUGAGACACGGCCCAGACUCCUACGGGAGGCAGCAGUGGGGAAUAUUGCACAAUGGGCGCAAGCCUGAUGCAGCAACGCCGCGUGAGGGAUGACGGCCUUCGGGUUGUAAACCUCUUUUAGUAGGGAAGAAGCGAAAGUGACGGUACCUGCAGAAAAAGCACCGGCUAACUACGUGCCAGCCGCCGCCGUAA